AGAGUUUGAUCCUGGCUCAGAAUGAACGCUGGCGGCGUGCUUAACACAUGCAAGUCGAACGAGAACGGGCUAUAGCUUGCUAUAGUUGUCAGCUAAGUGGCGCACGGGUGAGUAAUGUAUAGGUAAUAUGCCUCUUACUAAGGGAUAACAAUUGGAAACGAUUGCUAAUACCUUAUACUCCUUGUUAACUUAAGUUAAUAAGGGAAAGAUUUAUUGGUAAGAGAUUAGCCUGUAUUGUAUCAGUUAGUUGGUGGGGUAAUGGCCUACCAAGCACUAUGACACAUAACUGGUCUGUGAGUAGCGAUGAGUCUAUGUCACACGUGGUAACUGAUACUCAGGUUAGA
rnacentral:rRNA from 1 species